GGAGGCUCUGGUUUGCGUGUUGGGGGCUCUGUGUUGGAGGCUCUGGUGUGUGUGUGUGUGUUGGGGGCUCUGGUUGUGUGUGUGUGUGUGUUGGCGGCUCUGGUGUGUGUCUUGGGAGGCUCUGGUGUGUGUGUGUGUGUGUUGGCGGCUCUGGUGUGUGUGAGUGCUGAGAGCUCUGAUGUGUGUGUGUGUUGGGGGCUCUGGUGUGUAUGUUGGGGGCUCUGGUGUGUGUGUGUUGGGGGCCCUGGUGUGUGUUGGGGGCUGUGGUGUGUGUGUUGGAGGCUGUGGUGUGUGUGUUGGGGGCUCUGGUGUGUGUGUUGGGGACUCUGGUGUGUGUGUGUUGGAGGCUCUGGUGUGUGUGUGUGUUGGGGGCUCUGGUGUCUGUGUUGGAGGCUCUCGUAUGUGUGUUCGGGGCUCUGGUGUGUGUAUUGGGGGGCUCUGGUGUGUAUGUCUUGGAGGCUCUGGUUUGUGUGUUGGGGGGCCCUGGUGUGUGUGUGUGUGUUGGGCGCUCUGGUGUGUGUGUUGGGGGCUCUGGUGUGUGUGUAUGUUGGGGACUCGUGUGUGUGUUGUUGGGAGGCUCUGGUGUGUGUGUGUGUUGGGGGCUCUGGUGUGUGUGUUGGGAGGCUGUCGUGUGUGUGGGGGGGCUCUGGUGUGUGUGUGUGUAUGUUGUGGGGCUCCGGUGUGUGUGUUGGGAGGCUCUGGUGUGUGUGUUGGAGGCUCUGGUGUAUAUCCUGGGGUCUCUGGUGUGUGUGUUGGGGGCUCUGGUGCGUGUGUGUGGGGGGGCUGUGUAUAUUGGGGGCUCUGGUGUGUGUGUGGGGGGCUGUGGUAUGUGUGUUGGAGGCUCUGGUGUAUGUGUCGGGGGGCUCUGUGCGUGUGUACUGGUGACUCUGUUGUGUGUGUGUUGGAGGGCUUUGGUAUGUGUGUUGGGCCCUGUGUGUGUGUGUAUUGCGGGCUCUGGUGUGUUGGGCUCUGGUGUAUAUGUUGGGGUCUCUGUGUUGGGGGGCUCUGGUGUAUAUGUUGGGGUCUCUG
rnacentral:lncRNA from 1 species